rnacentral:tRNA from 1 species
UAGUAAAGUCAGCUAAAAAAGCUUUCGGGCCCAUACCCCGACAAUGUUGGUAUAAACCCCUUCCUCUACUAA